CUUGACGUCACUUCCGGCGGAAAAGGUGGUGGGGCUUCAAGUAGGGCGGGACUUCCGGCGCGUUCUCUUUUACGGCGUUCGCUUGGCGGCGUGCGGUGCUCGCUGUCGCCAUGUCGCGAUUCUUCACCACCGGCUCCGACAGCGAAUCCGAGUCGUCGGCGUCGGGAGAUGAGCUGAGCUCCAAACCCGCGGCCGGCAACUACAGCAAGCCCCUGCUGCUCAGUGAGGAUGAGGAGGACACCAAGCGCGUGGUGCGCAGCGCCAAGGACAAGAGGUGCGGAUC